GGUUUCCCUGGAGUUGAGGAUGUUUCCUGCUGUCACAGAGUACACUCACUGCAGACCGAUAGGUUGAGAGUUACAUACAACAAAAGGUUCAAAAUGGACAUGACUGCAUUUGAUGUUUCUUUAGCACUUCAUGUAUGUGAGUGAACACGUACGUGAAAGUUGACAUUCCAGUUGUAUAGCUGAGGCAGAAGACAGAAACACAUCUUGUUAAGGGAAUUCUGUUUUAUUCUUUGGGAAAUGGGUUGACAAAGUUUUGGAGCAGUGUGGGAAUGUGACAGAUGGGGGUCAAGGAAGGAUAAUCUUGUGGCUUCUCAUUGAUUAUUGGAUGAAAUCCAGGCACUUUAAUGUGGUUCACAAGGACCCACCUCUCGUUUCACCUGUUCACUCUUCAGUGCUGGUCUCACUGAAUAAGGGGCAGUUUCCUAACUAUGCCUUAUUGUUUUAUAUCUUCAUAUCUCCCAGCAACUCUGCCUGCCACUUGUAGACAUUACUUUUUUUUUUUUUUUUGGCCUCCCUUGAGGCAUGUGGAAAUUCCCGGGCCAGGGACUGAAGGCCGUUCCACAGCAGUGACCCAAGCAGUGACAUCGCUGGAUCCUUAACCCUCUGUGCCACAAGAGGACUCCUGUAUUACCUUUUUAAAGUAGAAACUUGGAGGUGAAGACAAGGAAGGGCCCAUACAUUGGAGGAACGAGCUUGUUGAAAUCCACCUGUCUCUGUCUCUGGGUGCUCUGGUCCUCCCGGAAGCGCUUCUCCCCGGCCACCCCUCUUCAUGCUCGCAGCACCCCACUAGGCGCCUGUAGUCUCCGAGUUUUACAAAGGAGGGGCCGAGGCAGAAGGUAAAUGCCUUAAGAUUGCAACAUUCAGACACGAGGCAGGACCAGGAAUGCUGACUGGCGUCUGAGCCGGCUUUUCCCUAUCACGUCGUGUUCUACUCUCUGAGAGGAAGGUCUGCUCGUGGGUUCAAGAUGGGGAUUGGUCACCCCAGUAACCUCAAGAGGCUGUGGCAUCUCUGAACUUCGCAGUCGGGUCCGAGUGACGCCUGCGGGGUGUGUGCCACGUGAGAGCCCCUGCCUAGGUUACCUGUGAGCUGACCUACCUCCCGACUCACUUCCUUGUGUUGGGAGAACUGGGAAAGGAUGGGAGCACCUUAGGAGUACAGUUUCGGCUGUUUGGAAAGACGUCAUCCUUGACUCUUGAAAGCUUGUGAUUUUUUUUUUUUUCCUUUUUAGGGCUGGCAGCAACAGCUCCGAUUGGACCUGUAGCCUGGGAACCUCUAUGUGCCGCGGAAAGCAGCCCUAGAAAAGCCAAAAAAAAAAAGAAAAGAAAAGAAAUGCUAAGAGAUGCCUUGAAGAAUCCACCGUGGGUUCCAGCCUUAGGUCUUCACGACCCUGUGGCAGGAAGGAACCCAGUUUCCUCUUCCUCUAGCUGGUAGCAUAUCCUCCUCGUUUGCCUUCUGGUUCAGCAGCUUGAGGAGUCCCCAGAUGUCCAGGUGGCAGUCUCACCUUUCAUUUCAUUGUGCAUUGUCAUCUCCCUUUAAUGGAAGCAUUCUUCCCUUUAUAUCCAGGCCCUCUGUACCAGCAGGGAUGGAGGGUGUUAUUAGGGCAAUAGCGUGUCCACUCCUGCCUCUGCCCCUUGACUCCAGAACCAGUGUCUUCUGACUUGGGGAGAGACAGCUGCUUCAAAGCGUAUGUAGUACAUCGUGUGAGAUGGAAAGGCAUCCUUUCGGAAUGUCCUUACAACUCCUGUCUUCAGUUGGCCCUUCUGUUUUGUUCUUGGGGCAGUUGCUUGUAGGGAGUGGGAAGCGUGGGAAGACUGGUGAAUUCCAAGUGCUGACAGACGCUGCUUCGUAAGUGGUACAUGUGACGUUUUCAAAUGGCAGGUCAUGAGCAUGGCGGUCCUGUGCUUACUGGGCUGUGGCCAGUCACCUCCCUUCUUUCCGUCCCUUCUUCUCUUCCUUCCAGGGAGCUCCAUAGACUGGAGAGGCUGGGGUAGAAAAUAAUACAGUGUAACAUGUUCAAGGACACGUAUUUGGGGGGGAAAUACUCAUAUGUAUACUUAUUGGAUCAUGAUUUAAAAUUCAUUUCUUAAUAUAAUUCAUGGUGACGAUACUUUGAAAACUACUGGUCCAAGGAGACAUUGGGACUUGCGGGUUUCUUCCCUCUAGUUUCCUGUGAUGUGUUAGCUCCAGGCCACAUGAAGUCAGUGUCGGCUGCAGUCCUGCAGUGGUCCUACCCACCAGGGUGGAUUUCUCUGGAAAUCUUGUUUACUUCUAACAAGUCAAAGGAUGGCAAUCAUGAGUGAGAUCACCUAUAAAAUGUAACUUUCAGAGUUGUUUAGAAGUUUAAGUGAGACCACGUGACUGAGUUCUGCCCUCAGCAUCUGGCAGGUAGUGGGAAAUAGGUCCAGGCAAUGAACUCUGUUAAAGAUGCACCCAGCACUGUUUACGUGGUGUUUUUCUGUAAAUUUCACCGUAAGAUUUAUAUUUACUAUGUAAAUCGCCUCCAUUGUUUAGGUGACUAAGGUGACCUAAAUCGAGUCAGUUAUGUGAUUUGAAUAAAAUUUCAGAACCCCUGUUUAUAAUCUAUUUCUUUCCACCCCUUCUCCGACUUUCUUUCCAAAUGAUAUUUUUACUUGGAUCUUGAGAGCCUUGUGGUUAAAGCAGAGAUGAAAAUUUUGUGGGACUGGAUCUGCAAAAUAAACUUCUUAGAGUGAAUUGGGAUAGAUGUCUCCACCCUCAGGCCCAGCCCUUGCCUAACAGAAUGAAUGAGCCAAAGUUAUUGACUCAAAAGGUUUCCCUGAAGUGCUCUACAAAUUAAAGCAGAAUAGCUUUAACUGGCCAUUGUUGACGAAGUCAUCUCAGUGUUCUCUUCUGUCUGUCCCUCCCAUAUACAGUGCCAGGAAAACACUCUUGGGAGUUGGCCGUGUUGGAGGCAGUGAUACACUCUGGAGAGAGAGCUGUGUUGAGAAUAAAAUGCUUUCAGGAGCAAUUCAAUCUUUUUAAUAAGUUACAGGUGUACAAUGUAGCGAUUCACAAUUUUCAAAUGUUAUACUCCAUUUAGACUUAUUAUAGAAUAUUUGCUAUAGUCCCCUUGAACAGUAAUACAUCCUUGGAGCUUAUUUUAUGCCUAAUGUUUGUACCUCUUAAUCCCCUACCGAUACCUUGCCCCUCCCCCUCCCCUCUCCCCACUGGUAACCACCAGUUGAUUCUCUGUAUCUGUGAGUCCGCUUCUUUUUUCUUUCUUUCUUUUUUUUAAACUACAUUCACUAGUUUGUUGUACUUUUUGGAUUCCACAUAUAAGUAAUAUAGCAUAGUGUAUUUGUCCUCUGUCUGGCUUAUUCCAUUUAGGAUAAUACCCUGCAAGUUCAUCCAUGUUCCUGCAAAUGGCAAAAUUUCAUUCUUUUUUCCGACUGAGCCGUAUUCCAUUGCAUGUAUGUACUGCAUCUUCUUUAUCUGUUCAUCUGUUGAUGGACAGUUAGGUUGCCUCCAUAUCUUGGUGAUUGUACAUAGUGUUGCUAUGAACAUUCAGGUACAUCUAUCUUUCUGAGUUAGUAUUUUUUUUUUUUUUUAAUAUAUACCCAGGAGUGGAAUUGUUGGCUUACAUGGCAGUUCUAUUUUUCAUUUUUUUGAGAAACCUCCAUACUGUUUUCCACAGUGGCUGUAUGAAUUUACAUUCCCGCCAGCAACGUUUGAGGGCUCCCUUAUCUCCACGUCUUUGUCAGAAUUCGUUAUUUAUGUAUUUAUUUUUAUGUUAGCCAUUCUGACAGGUGUGAGGUGAUAUCUUGUUGUAGUUUUGAUUUGCAUUUCCCUAAUGAUUGGUGAUGUUGAGCAUCUUUUUGUGUGCCUCUUGCGUGUCCUUUUGGGAGAAAUAUUUAUUCAGGUCUUCUGCCCAUUUUUUAUUUUAUUUUUUAUUUUUAAUUGUGCCUGUGGCAUUUGGAAGUUCCCUGGCUAGGGAUCAGACUUGCUCCACAGCAGUGACAGCGCAGGGAAUCCACCAAGCCACCAGGGAACUCCAGUUUGUUUGUUUUUUUGGUGUUGAGAUGUAUAAGGUAUUUAUAUAUUUUACAUAUUAACCCCUUAUCGGUUAUAUCCUGUGCAAAUACUUCCUCACAUUCGGUAGGUUGUCUUUUUGUUUUUUGGUGGUUUCCUUUGCUUUGGUUUUAUUUCCUUUGUUUUAGGAGACAGAUCAAAAAGAUGAUUUAUCUCAAAGAAUGUUCUGCCUGUGUUGUCCCUCAUAUGGUCUUAAAUUUUUUAACAACGGAAGACAUUAUGUAUUAUACAAUUUACCCUUUAAAGUGUACCCUUCAGUGGUUUCCAGUAUAUUCACAAAGUUAUGUAUCCAUCCUUAUAAUCAAUUUGAGGACAUUUUUAUUACUUUCGAAAGAAACUCUGUACCCCUAAGCUGUUGCCCCCUAAUCCUGCCCUACCUAGCUGCCUAGCCCCAGACAGUCACUCAUCUAUUGUCUCUAUAGAUUUGCUUAUUCUGGACAUUUUAUACUAACAAAAGUAUACAAUAUGUUGUCCUUUGUGACUGGCUUCUUUCACUUGGCAUAGUGUUUUCAAGGUUCAUCUGUUGUAGUAUGGAUCAGAAGUUCAUUUCUUUUUAUUGCUGAAUAAUAUUUCAUUGUAUGGGUACAUAGCAUUUUGUUCAUCCAUUCAUCAGUUGGUGGGCAUUUGAGUUGUUUCCAGUUUUUGGCUAUUGUGAGUAAUACUGCUAGGAACAGUCAUACACAGAUUUUUGUGUGAACAUGUUUUCAACCUUCUUGGGUAUAUAGCUAGGAAUGGAAUUGCUGGGUCUUAUGGUAACUCUGUGCUUAAGGAGGAACUGCCUGUUUUCCAAAGUAGCUGCCCUAUUUUACGUUUCUACCAAAAGCGUGUGAGUGAUCCGGUCUCUCCACAUCCUCCCCAACACUUGUUACUGACGUGUCUUUUUAAUGUUAGCCGUCCUCGUAGGUAUGAAGUGCCGUCACAUGGUUUUGAUUUGCAUUUCUCCAGUGACUUUUCAUUUGGGUUUUGGCCAUUUGUAUGUUGUCUUUGGGUUCUGUCUGGUUUUAGUUGGCAUCGAGGGAUGGCAGUAUCUGUAAUCUGUGCAACUGGUAUGUGGAAACUGGUUUCCCAGAAAAGUUUUCACUUCCUUGACAUAGUGAAAUUCACUUACACAUCAGAGAAUGUUUGGUCAAAGUAACAUUCUUUUGUUUUAAUUUUUAUUUAUUCUUUUCUUUUUUUGCCUUUUAGGGCUGCACCUGCAGCAUAUGGAAGUUGCCUGGCUAGGGGUCGAGUUGGAGCUACAGCUGCCUGCCUACACCACAGCCACAGCAGCAUGGGAUCCAAGCCAUGUCUGUGACCUCCACCACAGCUCACAGCAGCACCGGAUCCUUAACCCACUGAUCAAGGCCAGGGAUCAAGUCCACAUCCUAAUGGAUGCUAGUUGGGUUUAUAACCCGCUGAGCCACAGUGGGAACUCCACAUUCUUUUAAAACGCAAUUAUAGUUAAGCCACAUUCCACCCAUAGGGUGAAUAUAGAAGACCACAGUGAACACAGCCCGCGCCAACAUCCAACUGUAAAUGGGAUACUAAGUGAAACACGAGGAAGCAGAGCAAACUCGUGAGGACAAAUGGCUAGAACUCACAGGGACAUCCUCUUGGCCUCUGCUAGCCUCUUCCAAGGAAAUUCUGUUUGGGCAGACAGCUGAAGAGACCACGUAGUGGCAAGAUACUGAGUUAAACCACAGAAAAGGUACACAGCAUGAUUCGUGUACAAAUGCACUCAUGAAGCACUUCAUGUGCUUCAAAUACGGAGUUACGGCCACGGGAACGUUGUCAUUACAUGUGAAGAGAGGAAAAAAUUCAGAUCCCACAUACCUCAAGUACUUGUAUCUUACAUUGUAGCAGCAGAAUAUCUGAAAUUUUUACACUCACUGCACCAGUUCAGAAAUAGUGUCUCAACAUGAAUGAGAAAAGGAAAUAAAAAGGCUAGUAUAAAGUUUGAAUUUGCCAUUUUAAAAACUAUUGCAAUUACACUUCAAAAAAUAAAAAGAGGAGUUCCCGUGGUGACGCAGUGGUUAACGAAUCUGACUGGGAACCAUGAGGUUGUGGGUUCGAUCCCUGGCCUUGCUCAGUGGGUUAACUAUCCGGCGUUGCCGUGAGCUGUGGUGUAGGUUGCAGACGUGGCUUGGAUCCCGAGUUGCUGUGGCUGUGGGGUAGGCUGGCGGCUACGGCUCCGAUUCGACCCCUAGCCUGGGAACCUCCACAUGCUGCAGGAGCGGCCCAAGAAAUGGCAAAAAGACAAAAAAAAAAAA
rnacentral:lncRNA from 1 species